rnacentral:rRNA from 1 species
GACGAACGCUGGCGGCGUGCCUAAUACAUGCAAGUAGAACGCUGAAGAGAGGAGCUUGCUCUUCUUGGAUGAGUUGCGAACGGGUGAGUAACGCGUAGGUAACCUGCCUUGUAGCGGGGGAUAACUAUUGGAAACGAUAGCUAAUACCGCAUAACAAUGGAUGACACAUGUCAUUUAUUUGAAAGGGGCAAUUGCUCCACUACAAGAUGGACCUGCGUUGUAUUAGCUAGUAGGUGAGGUAAUGGCUCACCUAGGCGACGAUACAUAGCCGACCUGAGAGGGUGAUCGGCCACACUGGGACUGAGACACGGCCCAGACUCCUACGGGAGGCAGCAGUAGGGAAUCUUCGGCAAUGGGGGCAACCCCGACCGAGCAACGCCGCGUGAGUGAAGAAGGUUGUCGGAUCGUAAAGCUCUGUUGUAAGUCAAGAACGGGUGUGAGAGUGGAAAGUUCACACUGUGACGGUAGCUUACCAGAAAGGGACGGCUAACUACGUG